rnacentral:rRNA from 1 species
AUAUGGUAAGCUACUAAGGGCAUACGGUGGAUGCCUUGGCACAGGGAGGCGAUGAAGGACGCGGCUACCGGCGAAACGCCUCGGGGAGCUGGAAGCAAGCUUUGAUCCGGGGAUCUCCGAAUGGGGUAACCCGUCCCGAGUAAUGUCGGGACAUCCCGCGCAAGCGGGAGGCGAACCCGGGGAAGUGAAACAUCUCAGUACCCGGAGGAAAAGAAAACGAAUGUGAUUCCCCCAGUAGCGGCGAGCGAAAAGGGAAGAGCCCAAACCUCGAUGCAAUGCAUCGGGGGGUUGUAGGAACCUCACCAAAGCCACACAGAGGGAUAGCAGAAUGGUUUGGAAAAGCCAGCCAUAGAGGGUGACAGCCCCGUAAGCGAAAUCCCAAAGUGGGCGAGAGGUCUCCUGAGUACCGCGGGAUAAGUGGAAUCCUGUGGGAAUCUGCCCGGACCACCGGGUAAGGCUAAAUACUACCCUGUGACCGAUAGUGCACCAGUACCGUGAGGGAAAGGUGAAAAGAACCCUUCAGAAGGGAGUGAAAAGAACCUGAAACCGUAUGCCUACAAACGGUGGGAGCGAAUCUCUUGCCUUCGGGCGAGAGAGGAGUGACCGCGUGCCUUUUGCAUAAUGAGCCAACGAGUUGCUCGUCGCGUGCAAGGGUAAGGCUCUCAGAGCCGCACCCGUAGCGAAAGCGAGUCUGAAUAGGGCGUCGAGUACGCGGCGGCAGACGCGAAACCGGGUGAUCUACCCAUGGCCAGGGUGAAGCGUAGGUAACACUACGUGGAGGCCCGAACCGAUGUGGGUUGAAAACCGCUCGGAUGAGCUGUGGGUAGGGGUGAAAGGCCAAUCAAACUCGGUUAUAGCUCGUACUCCCCGAAAUGUUUUUAGGAACAGCCUCGACUUAGUGUGCCGGAGGUAGGGCUCUGAUUGGGCUAGGGCCGUUAAAGCGGUACCAAACCCAGAUAAACUACAAAUUCCGGACACAUGAUGGUCGGGAGUGAGGCGGUGAGGGAUAAGCUUCAUCGCCGAGAGGGAAACAACCCAGACCGCCGAUUAAGGUCCCCAAGUAGACGCUAACAGAUAAAGGAUGUGGCGUUGCUUAGACAACCAGGAUGUUGGCUUAGAAGCAGCCAUUCAUUUAAAGAGUGCGUAAUAGCUCACUGGUCGAGCGACGCUGCGCCGACAAUUAUCGGGACUAAGCGUCUCACCGAAAUCGCGGGCUCCUUCGGGAGCGGUAGGGGAGCAUUCUGCACUGCGGUGAAGGCGAACCGCGAGGUUCGUUGGAGCGUGCAGAAGAGCAGAUGUUGGCAUAAGUAGCGAUAAUCCAGAUGAGAAUUCUGGACGCCGAAAACCUAAGGUUUCCUCGGGCCAUGUUCGUCAGCCCAGGGUUAGUCGGCCCCUAAGGCGAGUCCGAAAGGAGUAGCCGAUGGGAAGCAGGUUUUUUAAAUAUUCCUGCACCACCGAAAGAGUUAACCACGGGGACGCAGGAGCGUAUUCAGUGGGGGUUAAUGGCUAUCCCCUACUGGAAAAGCACACUGCCGAGAAAAGCCGUGGGUAUCUCUUAGGUGACCGUACCGGAAACCGACACAGGUAGGUGGGUUGAGUAUACUAAGGCGCGCGAGUGAGCCGUGGUUAAGGAACUCGGCAAAUUAGCCCCGUAACUUCGGGAGAAGGGGUGCUCCGAGCAAUCGGAGCCGCAGUGAAAGGGCCCAAGCGACUGUUUAUCAAAAACACAGCACUCUGCUAACUCGUGAAGAGGAAGUAUAGGGUGUGACACCUGCCCGGUGCCGGAAGGUUAAAGGGAGGGGUUAGCCGCAAGGCGAAGCUCCGAACUGAAGCCCCGGUAAACGGCGGCCGUAACUAUAACGGUCCUAAGGUAGCGAAAUUCCUUGUCGGGUAAGUUCCGACCUGCACGAAUGGUGUAACGACUUGGGCACUGUCUCAACCACGGGCUCGGCGAACUUGUGGUACCGGUGAAGACGCCGGUUACCCGCAUAUGGACGGAAAGACCCCGUGCACCUUUACUGCAGCUUACUAUUGGGUUUGGGUGCAGCAUGCGUAGGAUAGGUGGGAGGCUGCGAAGUCCCGAUUGCGGUCGGGAUGGAGCCGACGGUGAAAUACCACCCUUGCUGCAUUCGAAUCCUAACCCGGAGGAGUGGAUCCUCGGGGACAGUGGUAGGUGGGCAGUUUGACUGGGGCGGUCGCCUCCUAAAUGGUAACGGAGGCUUCCAAAGGUCACCUCAGCACGGUCGGUAAUCGUGCGUUGAGUGCAAAGGCAGAAGGUGGCUUGACUGCGAGACCGACAGGUCGAGCAGAUGCGAAAGCAGGGCUUAGUGAUCCGGCGGCUCCGUGUGGAAGGGCCGUCGCUCAAAGGAUAAAAGGUACGCCGGGGAUAACAGGCUGAUCUUGCCCAAGCGUCCACAGCGACGGCAAGGUUUGGCACCUCGAUGUCGGCUCAUCGCAUCCUGGGGCUGGAGAAGGUCCCAAGGGUUCGGCUGUUCGCCGAUUAAAGCGGUACGUGAGCUGGGUUCAGAACGUCGUGAGACAGUUCGGUCCCUAUCCUAUGCGGGCGGAGGACACUUGAGGGGUCCCGUCAUUAGUACGAGAGGACCGUGACGACCGGACCUACGGUGCACCUGUUGUCGCGCCAGCGGCACAGCAGGGUAGCCAUGUCCGGAAAGGAUAAGCGCUGAAAGCAUCUCAAGCGCGAAGCCUGCCCCAAGAUUAGGUGUCCCAUCCCUUCAGGGAGUAAGGACCCUGGGAGAUUACCAGGUCGAUAGGCUCCACGUGUAAGCGCGGCGACGCGUUUAGCGGAGGAGUACUAAUAGUCCGAGGGCUUACCAUAAAAU